rnacentral:tRNA from 1 species
GCCGCCGUAGCUCCAGUGGUAGAGCAGCCGCCUUGUAAGCGGACGGUCCAAGGUUCGAAUCCUUGUGGCGGCACCA